CUUGCAAGCUCUUUAUUUUUAGAUACUACAUUUUUUAUUUGCAAUAUCUUGUGACUUUAUCUAAUCAGACAAUAUUAAUACACUGAGGUUUAUGUGAUUGUCUGAGUCUUUUAAAUUCAGUUCUGAUAUUAAAUUAGCUUAGCAGAUAGAUCUAGAUAGUGACUGAUACAGAUUUUUUUUAAAUUUCAUUAAUAAAGCGAAUUAAAUUAAUAGUUAAAUAUGGGAAUUAAUAACAGAGAAAAUCGCCGGAUCCCCACCCGCGCGGCAGGUGGGGUAUGUGGGAGUUGAACCUCACUAAAAACUCCUGCCGCUCACGACCGGCGCCCUACCUCGGACCGGGCCGGAGCCCAGUCGGGGCUAUUGAAACGGCGGGACAGGGUUGACGCAGAGCACAUUACAUCCAUCCCACCGUCUCACGGACGCCGGACCGGUGGCCGCCAGCGACAAGACCACCGGUUCCCCCGUUCAGCGGGCCGAGAGACGGGCAUGACCUGGAGUGAUGUCAAGGAGCAAGCGCAAAAUAGGGUCAAGUGGAUACAACUUAUGAAGGCCCUAUGCACCAGCUUGGUAUCUUAGGACUAUUACAACAAAAACAACAGUGCAGAGAUAUUACAACAAAAGCCGCAGCAUCGCAAUACAAAGCUAUUUUUUAAAUUAACUAAUGCAUACUACAAUGCCCUAUAUUAUUUUUAAUUGCUAUUCUGAGGCAGUCAUUCCUGAAGAAAGUAGAAGAACAAAGUUUAUUCAUAAACUAUUUAUAUAAGCCUGUUGUGAAUUCUGGAAAAUGUUUUAUCUAAUUAUUCUAUUAUAAUCUAUUCUAUUCUAUUUAUAAUC